GAUAAUAAGUAGUAUUUCAUGCAUAUGUGUAUUAUAAUUUUAUUUUCUAUGUUAGAGAAAACAGAAAGCAAAUGGCGUCAGAUAAUAUUAAUGUUUUAAACUUUCAACUAGUGUCUUUUAAUGUUGUCAGUCUUAUUAUAGUAAAAAGAAAAUGGUUAAGUCAUUCAACCUACAUAUAAAAUAUCUAAGUGAUAUCUUUAGCAUUACUGUAACACUUUUUAGGUAUGUUAUAAUGUUCAUUAGGUUUAAACGUCAUAAAAAUGGAUUGCUUUAGUGUUAAUCAGGGUACCGAAACAAUAAUUUAGAAUCCUUUAAUCACGUCAUGAUCCCCUACUCCACGUCUUUCAAUUUUAUCUGUCUCCAAUUAGGUAGGUACCUAGUUUGACAAGUGUUAAGUAUAAAAUCAUUAUCACUACAAAUGUAAUUUGUAAUGAAACACGAUAUAGCUACCUAUCUUAUUUUUCGCUCAUUGUAAUAGUAAUAAUUUAAAGGAACUUUUUGUAACUAGUUAGUAGUGUUGCUGUAGUCGUUUUUUUAAGGAUGCCUUUUAAAAUAGUGCAAACGACCGAAAGGGAUGAAGGAAUGUUCUACGGAACUUCUUGACUCACACAACAACCGAUUGUACUGUAUUUUGUGUAUGAGGUGUAUCAUUUUUUGGAACACGUUUUGCAUUUCUUAAACCAAAUAUAAAGUUUGAAUAUUC